UACAGAGGGUGCGAGCGUUAAUCGGAAUGACUGGGCGUAAAGGGCGCGUAGGCGGUUUGGUAAGUUAGAUGUGAAAUCCCUGGGACUUAACCUAGGAAUGGCAUCUAGUACUGCUGAGCUGGAGUAUAGGAGAGGGCAGUGGAAUUUCCGGUGUAGCGGUGAAAUGCGUAGAUAUCGGAAGGAACACCAGUGGCGAAGGCGACUGUCUGGCCUGAUACUGACGCUGAGGCGCGAAAGCGUGGGGAGCAAACAGG
rnacentral:rRNA from 1 species